rnacentral:lncRNA from 1 species
AUUGAAUUCACAACUUAUAACUCACAACUGAAGAUAAUCAAUUCAUAUUACAAAUAUAUUCAUGGUUUCGAAUUAACCUCUAACCAACAUAAAUUUAAUUACACAUUAUUAAAAACAGAAAUAAAAUAUGAGUUUGGAAGGAUUUAACCGAAAGAGAAGGGUGCUUGCUGCUUCUGUCUGUCUUCCUCCCCGAGGCUCACUGUCUUUCCCGCUCACCUCUGCCCUCACUUCUCGUCCCCGCAGUCCCGUGCUCCUUGCGCCACGUGCUGCAAGGCAGCUUCUCUCUCUCUCGCACCAGCUGCCAAAUGGCAGCUCUCAUCUUUCUUUUUUUAUAUAUUUUCUUUUUCUCCUUCUGCCGCAAGGCAGCUGUGCUGCCAGCCUUCUGUCCUCCCUUUAUUUUCUGCAGCUGUCCUCUCCUUGUUCUGCCAGUCAAGCUGCCAAAGGCAGCUUGUGACCUCACCUCAUGCUCAAGCUGCCCCGUUUCUUUUUUUAUCUUUCCUGCACGCUGCCUUCUGUUUCAUUCUUUCCCCUUUCUUCUAAUCCGUCCUCCUUGGAUCCUUUUAGCUGUCUCUCACUCAUCUCUCCACCGCUGCCCAAAAGCAGCUUUCUCCUUUAUUCUUCUUUUUUUUUAUUUCUGGCCUCACCUCCCCGUAGCUAAGUUGUCCUCCUCUUAUUUUCUGUUAUGCCACAAAACAUGAAUCAUGAUGAUGUUUCAAACAUCAUCAUGAUUUAUUAUUAUUAUUUCUUUUAUUAAUUUUAUGUAAAAGUUGAUUUACACAGACAGGUUUAACGAAUUUAUUACAUAAAAUUUCACUUGUUCUAUUUUUAUUUUCUUUGCAUAACAAAUCCUAUAAACACAAAAAUAACGUAAAUAGCUCAAAAAUAUAAGGAACUAACUAAGAAAAGACGAGUGAAUUCGAAGUAAAAAUAUAUAUAAAUAUGAUCCGAUCAAAUACCCCCACACUUAACUUUUGCUAGUCCUCGAGCAAAACAAAGGAAAACAUGAAAAAAGUAAUAACAAUGAAAAACAUUAGCUUCCCUCUAUGUGACCCUCAUAGAAUUUCAUUCAAGAAAACAAAUCAUCAAGAACCAUAGCUAGCACCAAACAAACUAAUCCAAGUUCAUCUUCCUAAUUCAAAUAUUAGCAGUAAUCUUUAAAUCAUCCUUGAAGUGUAGUGUGUGAGAUAGCCAUGCUAAUACAAUUUCAAAUUUUUUUAUAUUUUUAAAAUCAUCAUAUGCAAACUAGCGACCUUCUCACGGGAUAUGCACUCAAUCACACAUGUGUUUAGUUUUAAUGUGUUUCGCUCAAAAAAAAUCAAAUGUGAAAUUUCUACCAUAAGCUUGCAUAAAGAUCACUUGUCCACAGUCAUAAUUGCAAAACUUAAAUCAAGAGGACUUUUAUUGGAUGUAAUGAGGUUUAGGGAUAGGGUUAUUGAAACGAUAGAAUAGGAAAACACAAGUUCCAAGCUACAUUGCAAGCAAUUCUUUUCUUUAGAUUUAUAAGAACUCAAGCUCUCCAACGAUUCUUCUUAAACCUCCAACCACACCCUUAAACUGAAAAUUAAACAACUUUAAAAACAUUUUUUUUUUUCUUUUCUUUUCUUUUCUUCGUAUACAAUCUUUCUUUUUCUUUUUUUUUAUUUUUUUUUAUACAAACAUGAAAUACCCCCACACUUAUUUUUUUGCCAAACACCUUCAAAGUACUUACAAACAUUUCUCAUAAGACAAUCUCGCAUUGCUCGCUUGGAAAGGGUAAGGAAAAAAUGUUUCAGGUGUAAGGGUAGACAUAUCUGGUGAUAAGAAAUAAAAGGUUCAACAUACACGGCUCAAAUUGGCAAUCUAAUGAUAUCAUUUUUCUUUGGGAAACAUGGUUAUUUGGGCCAUGGUGGUAAACCUAAUGCCUCUAUCAUUUCCAAGUUCAUGCAAUCAAUGAUAAACAUUUCGAAAGAUCGUUACGCAAGUUCUAGAGAUAUAUCUCACAUAAGUUCAUCACACAUGAAAGAAUAGGAGUGUAUGAAAAAUGCACACACUUUCAAUAGGCUCAAAAACUCACAUAGGAUGUAUAUGGUCACUAAAUUCACAUAUGAAGCUUUAAGUCAUGCUUUAGUUUCACAUCAACAAGGCUAUGUGCAUUUGGUUUUUCAAAGAUGAUCAAACAUGUACAAAACUAACAAGAGAAUUAGGAAACUUCAUAAAACACAUGUUAACUAAGUUCUUGAUGAUCAUGAUUCAAAUUUUGAUCUAAUUAUAUCAUUGGGUCGGGAAACUAACAAAAAUCUAAUUCAAAACAAUAAGGGAAACAAGACAAUAUUUUUUGGAUUUUUUAAAAUUUUCCGAUUUUUUUUUUUUUUUUUUAUAGAGAAAACAAAACUAAAAAAAAUUAAAAAAAUAAAAAGCAACAACACAGAAACAAAUGAAAUUCUAGAGAUUUCUACCCCCACACUUAAACUUGACAUUGUCCCCAAUGUCAGAAAACACUAUAAUGCAAAAAUAAAUAAAA